ACCCCACGCCCCCACCAGCCCCAGAUUCGUUCCACAUCCACCGAUUCCUCUCCCUCUCCCUUUCCUUCCUACCACCGCCGCCACCACCUGCGACCUCCCCGCAGCCGCCACGACCGCCGCCACCGCCUGCGACCUCCCCGCAGCCGCCGCGACCCCUGGGAACCCUCUCGCUGAUGCCACGUCCUAACCUAGCGAUUGGGUGAGAAAAAGUUGCCUUCGCAUAGAAGCCAGCAAAUCCCUUUCCCGAGGCGCCCUUCUCUCGUCCUUCCCCUAUCGCACAGAGCGGCUACACGGAGAGAGACCCCCACCGCCGCUGCACACCACCAUCGUCCUCCCCUCACCUAGGCCCCAGAUCGAGCAGGCAACGCGGCGCUUGCAGACCCGCGACGGUUGGAGUUCUCGCGCCGCCGCCGGCUCCUAUCCCGUGCGUCCAGCCCUACUUCGUGCACGGGGCGAAACAGUCGCCGCUGCCGGAGCGGCCCUCGGUAGCAAGGAGGCCCAGGUAGACAUGGGGCCCGUCGCCAGUUCCCGAUCCCGCGCGCGCCAGCCCCUGCUACGCGCACGCGACGAAACGGCCACUGCUGUCGGAGUGUCCUUCGGCGGCGAGGAGGCCCAGGGAGACAGGCCGGCGGUGACGCUCGUACUCCUUCGCGCAACCACUCCGACGACGGCCAGGAUUGUUGCUGUCUCUGUUCCUUGAAAUCCCAUACAUGCCCGCGUCCAAUUUGUGCUCGUCGUCGCCUUCCUACAAUAGCUACGGAUCUGCAGCUGGCCGACCAGACCCCUGGAGGUUGGAGGAGGCCUUGGGGAAUGGGGAUGAUGAGCGGCCAGCUGUCGGCAGAACCCCACUGUCAUCUCCCAUAUCCUGCCGUUGGCAAUGUGGACCAUGGAGAACGCGAGGAAGAUUUGGUCUACCCAAUGCGGCGAUGAGGCGUCUGAUGAACGAAUAAUUGGAGGCUCUGCGGAAGAAGAACCUGGAGAACACCUCUCUUCCUUUACAUCUAAAAUUGAAUUUACAGGUGAUCGAUUCAUGAAGUUCAACUGUUUAUCAAAUUGAAUGCAAGGGUGAUUAGGAUUUUAUAGGAUUAUAUUUGCUUAUUGUCAUAAUAUUUAAACUACUGAUGAUGUUCUAGAAUGUUAUUUGGUAUUCCUUUCAGCUAUGAAGUGGUUAUUUUUAAUGUGUUUUUGACAAGGGAACCUACCACUUUGAUGAUUUGGUAUUAGAAUGAAACAGACUUGCAAUUUCAGUUUGCAUCUACACUCUGAUGCUUAUGGUUUUGAAGUACAUCUAAUGCUUAUGGUCUUGAAGUAUGUAUCACUGCACAGUUAUUAACAUAUGACUCAUACAAAACUUGAUGAAUUGCAGAGUUAUAGUUUCAUGAUUUCAUAACAUACUUAAUUCAAAAGUUUGGCCUCUAUUUGACGAGCAGGUUGUCUUAGAAAAUCGACAGCUGAAGGUGACUAUUUCAAUUCUUAUAAUCAAGAGCUACAAACUUCUUCUAGCUCCAAAACGAGGCAGGUAAUGCAACUUAUGCAAGUAAGUGAAGGAUGCCCAACAGAUUCAAAAGGGUGUGAUGACUGCUUUGAAAAAGCAUCACUUCCUAACAUAAGCGAAGAGGAGAAAAGGAAGAUCCUUCACUUUGUGAUUAUUGGUGGUGGACCCACUGGGGUUGAAUUUGGUGCAGAGCUGCAUGUUUUUCUUAUCGAAGAUAUGGUGAAGCUAUAUCCUGCAAUUGAAGAAUUUUUGAAGAUAAGAAUUAUUCAGCAAGGAGAACAUAUAUUGAAUAUGGAAAUUAAUGUACUUGAAAGUCAGCUUCCAUGCGCAGAUAAUGAGUUUGUACUGCUGGUUCACAUAUAGGAGACUAGAACAUGCAUGCUGCAGGUAGUGUGCUCCCAGCUAAUCAUCUCCUGGGAUAAUACUCAAAUAGUGUCAUAGAAAAUGAACAAUUUGAACAUUUAUUAUUAUUAGGAAAACAGUUUAGUCAUUAAAAGUGGAACAUAUAUCCUGAUCAUUGAUUUCUUACUAGGAUACAUUGAACAAAACCACCUUACCUCCAUGCUCCAAACAAUGCUAGCGUAGGAUUAAUUCUUACCAAAUAUUAUUAGUAGUUUCUGGAUUGUGGGAGAUUCCUCCCUGAUCUUCAUCCAUUUUGCUUUUCUUUUUAUGUGGAUGUUCCUGACUUCUAUGAAAUUAUCACGCUUACUGUAGACAUUGCAAUUUUAUUGGGAAUACGACAUUUUGUUGAUUUGACAAAGAAAUUUUUCCUACUGUUUCAGUAUCCAUGCCUUUCGUUGUAGCGUCAGUAGAUCUUCUCUUUUCUCCAUGUUUACUAUGAGAUGAUAUAUCUAUUUCUAUAAAGGAUAGAUGUGUUUGCUGAAACAAAGUUCCAAAGAGAUGACAUCGAGUUGAGUAUGGAUUCAGAGUGAUAAAGGUCUCUGGUGGAGGAUCAUUGGUGUCGUAUGGGAUGGACGUUCGGUCUACUGGCAUAGGUGCUCGUCCCUUGACUGGACUGGUGUGAUGGAGCCAUGGAGAUGAAGUGUUUGUCAAAUUUCUUGCAAGGGUCGCUACUUGCUUGCUGCCAUAAUAUUUAAACAAUUGUUGAUUUUCUAAAAUGUGUUUUCGGCAUUAGUAGACUCACUUUUGAUGUGUUGGUAUUAGAAUGAAACGUACUUACCAUUUCAAUUUGCAUCUACAGUCUAAUGCUUAUGGUUUUGAAGUAUACAUCGCUGCAUAGUUACUAACGUAUGGUUCAUAUAGAACUUGAUGAAUUGCAGAGUUAUAAUUUCAUGAUCUCACGAGUUACUAAAAUCAAAAGUUUGGCUUCUAUUUGAUGAGCAGGUUCUCUUAGAAGAUCAACAACUGAAGGAGAAUGUUUUAAUUCCUAUAAUCAACGGUACAAAGUGGAAGUGGCUGCGAGCACACCACCGUCCGUGCACCUGUCCUUCCUCACUCCAACAUCAGAUGACCCAUCGACCAUGGCCAUUGUCCCAUGCGUGGCCAAUAAAUUUUACACUGCUGAGGGGAGCGACCAGCUCGUGGUUGUGGUGUCUGGUUGCUCCAUCUGGGGUUUGGCGUUUUUUGAACAGGUGCACCACACCAUCCACUGCCGAUCAAUGCCUCUCUUAUUCGGAUAGGACCAUCUGUCGGUCUGGUCAGUUUCAUAUAUUAAAUUAGGCCCAAAUCGAGUGGUUUCUCGAGGUCAGAUGUGAGAAAAUCGGAUGAGAAUUGGGGGUCUGGGCAGCACCUGGGUCUGUCAUUGAGGCUUCUCUUUCUCUCGCGUGGCAGGUUGAUUUGACUCCGCACAGCGUCUGCGUCCUCACCUCGCUCAAGGU